rnacentral:rRNA from 1 species
AACGAACGCUGGCGGCAGGCUUAACACAUGCAAGUCGAACGCAUCGCAAGAUGAGUGGCAGACGGGUGAGUAACGCGUGGGAAUCUACCUAGUUCUACGGAACAACAGUUGGAAACGACUGCUAAUACCGUAUACGCCCUAUGGGGGAAAGAUUCAUCGGAAUUAGAUGAGCCCGCGUAAGAUUAGCUAGUUGGUGGGGUAAUGGCCUACCAAGGCGACGAUCUUUAGCUGGUCUGAGAGGAUGAUCAGCCACACUGGGACUGAGACACGGCCCAGACUCCUACGGGAGGCAGCAGUGGGGAAUAUUGGACAAUGGGCGCAAGCCUGAUCCAGCCAUGCCGCGUGAGUGAUGAAGGCCUUAGGGUUGUAAAGCUCUUUCACCGAUGAAGAUAAUGACGGUAGUCGGAGAAGAAGCCCCGGCUAACUUCGUGCCAGCCGCCGCGGUAAUAC